CUGGCUCAGAACGAACGCUGGCGGCGUGCCUAACACAUGCAAGUCGAGCGAGGAGAUCCUUCGGGAUGAUCCUAGCGGCGGACGGGUGAGUAACACGUGGGCAACCUGCCUCAUAGAGAGGAAUAGCCUUCCGAAAGGGAGAUUAAUACCUCAUAACAUUGCAGUUUCGCAUGGAACAGCAAUUAAAGGAGUAAUCCGCUAUGAGAUGGGCCCGCGGCGCAUUAGCUAGUUGGUGAGGUAACGGCUCACCAAGGCGACGAUGCGUAGCCGACCUGAGAGGGUGAUCGGCCACAUUGGGACUGAGACACGGCCCAGACUCCUACGGGAGGCAGCAGUGGGGAAUAUUGCACAAUGGGGGAAACCCUGAUGCAAGCAACGCCGCGUGAGUGAUGACGGCCUUCGGGUUGUAAAGCUCUGUCUUCAGGGACGAUAAUGACGGUACCUGAGGAGGAAGCCACGGCUAACUACGUGCCAGCCGCUGC
rnacentral:rRNA from 1 species